UUCUCUUGUAUUUUAAUUUUGGGGUUAGGGUUUUGAUUUUGCAAUUUGUAGGGCUCGAUUGUUGGAUGAGUUUGAAUGUUUUAUGUUAUUUGUUCUUGAUUUGAAAGUGUGCUCUUGCUGAAUCAGAUUCGAAAAGGUUUUUCUCAAUUUUCAGAAAAGAAGAUUGAAGAAUGGUUACUGCUGUCUGCUGCAGAUGAUGAGAUUAUGGAGGUUAAUGUCUUUGAAUCCCCUAAUUAAAGAUAUUAAAGCUCUUACUUUUGGACCUAUCUGGUGUAUGGUUCAGCAACAUGUGGAUCCAAACCAGUGGCAUGCUGCAAUAUGUAUAGAUACAAUGGAGGUUAUGAACCCUAUGGAUGUGUUUUGGCUGCUCAAGAUCCUAACAUGUAUUCUUACCGAGGCUAUGGCAGUCCCGGAUAAUCAACAACACUAACAACAGAUAUGAUCUCGUUCUUGCUCUCAUUUUUAUGAUUUUAAGUUUCAACAUUUAAUUUAUCAUGUAAACUAUAUCCAGCUAACAACUCUCUAACUUAAUUUUGUUUUUGCUUCUUCCAGUGAUCUGAUUAGAUAGCCAGAAUCAGUUGAUUGGUUCUCAGAAAGUUGCAUCUUCAAAUGACCUUCAGAUAAUGUUGUUUCAGUGUUGCAGAGGGAAAAAUCUUGUGUUGUAGGUUAUGUCUACCAUGGGAGAGGAGCAGAUCUGUGCCGUUAAGGACAUUUCUGGAUCCAAAUAGAAGAUGAAUUUUAGACUAUAUUACUGCAGUCUAUGUUUGUUACUUCAUAUGGAGAGAAGAUGUGAUCUUAAGUUAAUGAGUGGCCAUUAUUACUUCUAUCUUAUGGUUUUAGGCAGACAAUAUCGUAGUUUUUCAUGGGAUGUUUUCUGUAUUUUAUCUUAAUUAGUUAAUUUUAUUUUUGGUGGGUUUGGUUUGCUUUAGACAUACAACAGAUACUCACAUCUCUUAUAAUUGUGCAUUAUGAUUUGGUUCGCAGGCUAAACGAUGACUUGUACUCCCCAAGCAGUGGAUGUGAGGAAAUAUAAUGUUGUUAUUACUCCUACAAAGGCUACUAGCACUGGAGGGAGUUUUUUGCUGCAUCAGAGUUAGUUGGUCUCAAAUUUAUAAACUACCGUUUUGUCAGAUGGUUGGUACUCGAGAGACAUCAGUAGAGAGUGUCAUGAACUUUGGGUUUGUUAGGUCGGCUGAUGAUUUUGUUUGCGUGUUAGACCUUGAAAUCCCAUUGCUAAUGUUGUUGCAGCCCCGAUAUACAAAUUUGAAGGACACAAAGCAGAUGGUAUUUGCGUCCAUGUUCGACAUGGACAGUCAUUCGAUUUUGAUAAAUCUUAGAGAGGCCUUCAUACAAAUUGCUUUCUGAGCACCUACGUUUUUGUUUAUCGCAAAUCUGAAGGAGCUCGAUUUGACUGGGAACUUGCUUUCGGGAUGGAAAACAUCAGGCUUUCGGAUUAUCCAAUCACGGGAACAAGCAAAGGUGGUAUUCCUAGAUUUACGUUGAUUGCACGUUUGGAAAAAAUUGAAAUCCUUAGUGGGAGUGAGUUACUGGUGUCCUGCUUUACCAAGGCUGCUAUACAUGAAGAUUACUUCACAAGUACGCCAUUAUGAAGUAGGAAUAAGUUCAUCAUCAUCGGAGUUUAUAAUUUUGUUGUUUAAUCAAUAGUUUUUUAGUUCAUCGUUUUGUAAUCGAAUCCUAUAGCUAUAGAUUACACUGGUCAGAACUAUAGAUUUUAAUCCUUUAUGUAAUUUGAAACCAAUGAAUCAAUCAAUGUUAAAUUAAAUGAUUAUUUGUGUGCAAGUUUAA